rnacentral:rRNA from 1 species
GCGACGGUGCUGGAAACAGUACUUUCCUUCGGGACGCAGAGACAGGUGGUGCAUGGUUGUCGUCAGCUCGUGUCGUGAGAUGUUGGGUUAAGUCCCGCAACGAGCGCAACCCUUAUGGUCAGUUACUACGCAAGAGGACUCUGGCCAGACUGCCGUUGACAAAACGGAGGAAGGUGGGGAUGACGUCAAAUCAUCAUGCCCUUUAUGACUUGGGCUACACACGUACUACAAUGGCGUUAAACAAAGAGAAGCGAGACCGCGAGGUGGAGCAAAACUCAGAAACAACGUCCCAGUUCGGACUGCAGGCUGCAACUCGCCUGCACGAAGUCGGAAUUGCUAGUAAUCGCGGAUCAGCAUGCCGCGGUGAAUACGUUCCCGGGCCUUGCACUCACCGCCCGU